UGUUGUCAGUUUCCGACUUUAAGGUUCUUCCUGCUCUGCUCCUUAAGUUGCCACAUUUUAGUUAACAUACCUCUUACAAUACUGGUCCUUUCUAUAUUUGGAGGGACUUCUCUUGCAAAUUCAAGUUUUUUCUUGCGCUAAGCAUUUGGCCCUAAGAUUAUCUGCGUUUUAUGUCAGUUUAGGUACCUCUUCAGACAUUGUUCAGUUAGGAAUGUAAAUAGGAGCUAACAUUGUGGAAAAGGAAAGAACAUCUGCUUACAACCAUUUUUGUUUCAUAAUACAAAUGUAAAUCAAUAUGUUAAUGGGAAUGCAGGCUGGGAGGGGAGGGAAAAUAUGCAGAGAGAAAAGCCCCAUCUCUGCUUGGAGUUCAGCACCAGGUCUCUUCCCUUCCACCUUUUUUGUCAAGGCUGCCACGGUGACAGAAGCACAUAUGGCUGCCUUUUAGUGACACCUGCUGGGACAGACCUGGCAGAAGGGAUUGCAGAUUUGCAUGUUUCCUGGCUGCCUCUGCUAGCCCCAGUCAGCAGCCCACUCCAAUUCAUGCUGAACUUGGACAACCGCUUUCCAGCCUCAUCAUUCCUAAAGGAGAAUGACCUACAUGCCAGCAUGACAGAGAUUUAGAAAUUUAUAGAAGCUUCAUUGUGAGCCUAAAUCCUUAACAGGGGCUCAAACUGCCAACACCGAAUGAAGAGAGAGGUUUUGCAGUAAAGCAGGAAGUCAUUACCACCCGGCUGGGUUUUGAGCUCCUUUCCCACUAAUUUAAUGGAAAAUUUUAUUGUCUUUACAAUGUACACUUUCAUAAAUUUUGCAUAAAUUUAUUACUCACAUCUUAAGUAACUCCUUUGUGUUUUAUCACUGAGUAAAUUAUAUGUAGCAAACCAAUGCUAUAUUUUGGCAAACUCAUAGCUUAGAAAAUACUAAAGACUCAUUGUAAACUGAGGGCAGCAUUAAGCAAAUUAUAUUUACCUUUGUGACUGCAAAACUUAAUGAUUCAAUGCUUUUCCCAUGAAAUUUAUCUUUCAAUACUGACAGUUUUUUUAAAAUAAAAAAUAUGAAUUAAAUAUCCA
rnacentral:lncRNA from 1 species